rnacentral:rRNA from 1 species
UACGGAGGGUGCAAGCGUUGUCCGGAUUUAUUGGGUUUAAAGGGUGCGUAGGCGGCCUGUUAAGUCAGUGGUGAAAUCCUGCAGCUCAACUGUAGAAUUGCCAUUGAUACUGACGGGCUUGAAUUCAGGCGAGGUAGGCGGAAUUGACGGUGUAGCGGUGAAAUGCAUAGAUAUCGUCAAGAACCCCGAUUGCGAAGGCAGCUUACUAGACUGACAUUGACGCUGAGGCACGAAAGUGUGGGGAUCAAACAGG